AGAGAGGAAAAAGAAAAAAACUGCCGCAAACAAAAGAAAACCUAAACCUUGUUCAGCGGGAAAUCCAGAAGCCUAACUUUCCAUCUUCUCUUCCACUUUCUUCCUCUGUGAAUCUCCCUAAACCCUAUUCACCUGAAAAUCCAUAAACCUAACUUUCAAUCUUCUCUUCCACUUUCUUCCUCUGUGGAUCUCCUUUCUCAUUCUUGGUUGUUGUUUAUUCAACUUGAGCUCGCGAAAGAAUCUCUCCCGUUUCUCUUCUCGGAGCCCUAGGUUUUUUUUUUUUUUUUUGGUUCUUUCGCUGUCUAAUCUGAUCAACUUUAUUUUUGUUUGUUGCAGAGAUUAAUGCCAUUUGUUAAUUAAUUUUACGAGUUUCGCUUGGGUGUUGGAAGGUAAAAUUCCAUGCUAUUGCAAGAAGAUGGAAGAUUAAUUUGGGUGUUGCUUCCUCUGCUGUAGGUGAUGCAAUCAAGUGUGAUUUGGGGGUUUUAUGGAUUAACUUGCAGUGAGUCUCUUGCUUUCUGGUUUAAUUCCACAGCUAAAGGAGGAAGAAGAAGUUGAAGAAUGGCGAGAGAAAACAGAAAGAAGUCUGGACCAAAAAUGUUUUGGGUUUUAGGAAGAAAAGCAUGAUCAGAAAGAUGAUGACGAGGAAUAGAAGAAAAAGAAUGGACACAACAAAACUAAUGUUGACCUUGAGUUUGGGAUGAAACUCUUUGGAAGUAAGUCUGCGAGUACAUGGCAAUCAGUUCUAUGAAAAUGUAUCAUACUAUAUGAAAAUUCAGAUUCGAUAGGUUGAUACAGCUCAUGCAUACUCGCACAAAACUGAAACACAUCAUUUCUGACAUACCAACAAACGUUCCUUUUUGGGGUGACGAUUGUCAGUGUCUAAAUUCUUUUUCAAAAUGUAUAACAUUAGUUGGAAAAUUCUUAUCUCAAGCAGACCCUGAUAGAAAGAUGGUAUACUUGCUGCAAAGGAGGUACUCCCUACCCCCUUCGCAUUAUUGGUUUUAAUUUUAUGUUUUAUUCUAUUAGCCAAAAACCGUUUGACAGCAACAAGGAGUUGUAGUGUUAGAAAUCCAACCGUUUGACAGCAACCGUUUACAACAGUAAAUAUGGGGGGUUCCUUGGAAGCUAUUAGCUGGUUUAUUAAAUGGAAACGGAGAUCGGCAUAAAAGAUUAUCCAAAAACAAAACUAAGCACUGAUGCAUCAAGUUCUUGGGUAGCGAUAUGAAUUACUAACAACGGUACCUGACAAGUUGGUUUGUCAUGGAUGUGGCUUCCACAGUCCUAUUUGAGAUUUUAUGUAUAUCUCCUAUUCCACAGUCCUAUUUUCACAAGAAUAGCACAAUCUAUUCCUUAAACUGAGCACACUAUAUAAAUUUCGAGUACUUGAAAGGUUAAAAUGUCAUUGCCGCUUGAUUGUUGUUAUCACUUUAUGUUACCAGUCUUGAAAAGGACAUUAGAUUCAGUUAUUUCUGGAUUAUUUCGAUUGAUAUGGCAUCGCUUAACAUUGGAACUGACUUAUCCUGGAGAUUUCGAAGAACAACUUAUCAUGGAGAAUUCGAAAAAAGGCUAAUAGCUGUGGUCGAUGAUAAAUGAGAAGUGAGGAAAUGUAAUACUCUUUACUAAUGAGGCUCACCUACUGAGUGAAGCAGGGGGGAUCAUUCUCUUGAUGCCGAAAAUGUAUUAAAUGCUUAUUAUCUUUAUUCAUGACAUCUUGUACCUUUUUGACCGGAAGGUUAUUAUCUUUAUUUUGAGGACGUUAUGUGGUACGAAACAGUUAAUUAGUGUAACAAGUGGUUAAGUAAUUUGAUUCGUGUAUCAUUGACCAAUGUUAGUAUGAAUUGUAUGGGAUAUUAUCAGACCUGCAACUCAUGUAUUGCAUUGAUUCAUCAGUGUAACUCAUGUUUUUAAUUUUUGUGAAUGUAAUCCAGCAAUUCCGUGAAA